rnacentral:rRNA from 1 species
GUCUGUGUACGGCUCAUUAAACGGUUUAUUGUCUCCCCAACGAAGGAUGUGCAUUUGCCAGCCCUACGGGAUAACUUUGCUAACUGCAAAGCUAAUACCUGUAAGAAGAACCCCGUACUUUCCAAACGGGGAGAUGAACGGGAAACCUUGCGGUGUGGUGCAGGGUGCAAUUCGCCGAAACAAAAACCAACGCCCUCACGGGCAGUUGCGAUUGUUGAGGCAGGCGAAUGUUGCGAAAGCACCGUUUUCGGUGCGAUGUUGGAUGAAUUUACCACCUAUCAGGUUGAAGGUAGUAUAGUUGACUACCUUGCCAUUGACGGGUAACGGAGAAUUGGGGUUCGAUUCCGGAGAGGGUGCCUGAGAAACGGCAACCAUCACUACGGUGAGCAGCAGGCGCGCAAAUUGCCCAAUGCCAAUCCUGGCGAGGCAGCGACGAAAAAUAAUAACUCUGUUGCGCUAAGCGUAUCAGAGAUUGUGAUAUGGAUUGUAUCUAGUACACACUGCUGAGUAUCAAUUGGAGGGCAAGUCUGGUGCCAGCAGCCGCGGUAAUUCCAGCUCCAAGAGCGUAUAUAAAUGUUGUUGCGGUUAAAAAGCCCGUAGUUGGAUUUGAGAUCAUUGCUGGUGUUCGCCCCCACUCCCUUGCGGUUGUGGAUCCGGCCGAGCACAACGACGAUGUUCUGUUGCAUGCGGGAAUGGACGUCUGCUGAUAGCCCUUUCGGGGGUCUGGAAGCAACUUCGGAGUCUUGACGCUCCAAAGAUGCGCCCGCAGUCGUCACUGUGAGUAAAUCAGAGUGUUCAAGGCAACUCUUUGUUGAGUUGAAUGUUAAAGCAUGGAAUGACAAGGGAUCGACCACUAAAGGCCUCUUUUUGUUGGUUUUUAACCUUCAGUGAGGCAAACUUGUGGAGGGGCCUUCCGCUUCAAGGACUUUGUCUCUUGUAAGUGGACCCCACCACGCACGGGAUCAACAGGAGCACAGGGGGUCGUGAGUACUGGAGGGUGAGCGGUGAAAUGCGGAGACCCCUCCAAGACUGACAUCAGCGAAAGCACUCGACUAUUGUGCUUUCAUUAAUCAAGGACGAGAGAUAGGGGAUCGAAGAGGAUUAGACACCCUCGUAGUCCUUUCCUUAAACUCUGCAGACUUGGGAUCGGUCAGUGCUCACUUUCUUGACCUGAUCGGCACCUUCCUUCCCUCUCGAGAAAUCAAAGUCUUUGUGUUCCGGGGGGAGUACAUUCGCAAGGCUGAAACUUAAAGGAAUUGACGGAGAACCACCACCAGUCGUGGAUUGUGUGGCUUAAUUCGACUCAACACGGGAAAUUUUACCAGGGCAGGACAUGGUCAGGAUUGCCAAGCUAAAGCCUUUGCUUGAUUCCAUGAACGGUGGUGCAUGGCCGCUUCUGGUUGGUGAAUGUGAUUUGUCUGCUUAAUUGCGAUAACGAACGAGAUCUCUGCCAAUUACUAGAUGCCGCUUUCGUGGUAGUCUGCGUGUAGGCUCAAGGUCUUUUGGCUUUUGGCCACGCAUGGCUGAGAAGGCGGACGUUUACUUAUUGGGAUUAUGCGGUCCAAAAACGCAUUGAAACGAGAGCCCAAAGCAGGUCUGUGAUGCUCCUAAAUGCGCUGGGCUGCACGCGCAAUACAAUGACUUCGACAGCGAGCUUUUGCCUUGCAACCUGGCCCGAAGGGGUCGGGGAACCUUUGAGCCGAAGUCGUAACGGGGAUUGAUGCUUGAAAUUAUUCUCCAUGAACGAGGAAUAUCUUGUAGGCGCGUCUCAUCAGGACGCACCGAAUACGUCCCUGGUUCUUGUACACACCGCCCGUCGUUGCCUGUAAUGGGUUGUGA